GAAGAGGAAGUCGUCCUAAAGAACAGAAUCUUCUAGGUUUUAGCUCUUUCUUUUUCCGGAUGGCCUGUUCUAUUCUCGGAGAGCUUUAAUUACUAGAAGAAUCUUUUUGCCCUGAGCCAGAAUCUGUCUCCCCUAACUUCACAAAGUUGGCCUCACUUUUGAGCUCUGGAGAUCUGCAGAUCUGCCCAGUUCCUUCCAGGCCUUCAGCCAGACAGGCCAGCGCCAGGGCAGGGCCGCAGCACCUUCGCUAGUCCUCCCCGUCUGCCGCGCAGCACGCAGUUCCGAGCUCGCACUUCCCGGGCCUCGGAAGCCUCCACUUUCAGCGGGUGCGAAUCAACGCGGCUGGCCAGCCCUCAGGUGGUGCGGGUCUCUCCUGACAACCGGGGGAAUGCCGGGGUUACUGGUGAGUGCAUUUCAUCAGGGGCAAAUGUGCUCCAGUCCCAGAAGCACAGGGUGCAGCCCCAGCUCGUUCCUGAGAACCCGGGCGACGACCUCGUGGCCCCGGCUCGUCGGUGCGCGCCCACGGACGCAGAGGAGGAAACGCCCGAGGAAAUUCACUCAAGCCAAGUCCGGUGCUCAGACCGUCGGCACCCAGGGCUGUCCGCGCCGAGACCCCGCGCCGGCCCCUCCUUAGCCGCGCAGCCCCCGCGGGAGGGAGGCGGGCGGAUGACGAGGGUGUGGGGGCGUGAGUCUGAGGGCGGCGGGCUCCGGCGUCUCAGGCGCGGGCUCCGGCUCGGCAGGUUCCGUCGCUGACCGGCCGGGCGCUGCAAGCGGAGCGUCGAGGUCGCCGCAGCGGGGGAAUGGCGCGUGCGGGGGUAAGUGGCGCAGACGGCCGUCACAGGCACUCGCAGCCCAGGGCGCAGCAGCCCGGCAGGCACACGCAUACGCGCACCCCGCAGCCGUCUCCCCCGCGGCCCCCGGCUCGGGGCGGCGGCGGCGGCGGCGGCCCGGGGCGGGCGGGCCGGCGCAGGGCAGGGUCCCGGGGCCCCCGAGGGCGGCGGGCGGGCGGGGGCGGCGCUCGGGGGCCCGUUUGGUCAGCACCCAUCCUCCGGGCCCGCCUCACGGUCCGCGACGCGACGGGGGGCGCCCACCGGCUCCCAGACCGCGGCGGGCCGGGCGCGGGCGGGCGCGGGCUCCUCCGCCGCGGGCGGACGCUGAGCGCGGCCUGUCUCGCAGGUCUGGAUGCUGGUGGUCGGCGUCCUGCUGGCGUUGGGGCCUGGCCGGGCCGCAGGUGCCCUGAGGGCGAACAGACGCCCGGCACGGCCGCGGGGCUGCGCCGACCGGCCCGAGGAGCUUCUGGAGCAGCUGUACGGGCGGCUGGCGGCGGGCGUGCUCGGCGCCUUCCACCACACGCUGCAGCUGGGGCCGCGGGAGCAAGCGCGUAAUGCGAGCUGCCCGGCAGGGGGCAGGCCGGGCGACCGGCGCUUCCGGCCGCCCACCAACCUGCGCAGCGUGUCGCCGUGGGCCUACAGGAGAUGGCCUCUCUUCUCUUCUGACCUCAAUGCUCCUGAGUCACUGGAAGACUGGAAAAAAGCAUUUCUCACAGAAGCUCAAAACCUCUUCUAAAGCAGUGUGUAGAAGGACAGGAUUGGUUUCUUAGUGGUGUCACUGUGGGACCUGUGUAGCCUGGGGGGAACAGUAUGCUCGCCUCUGCAACUCUAAGUAUGGAAUUAGAAGUAGUAUGUAAGUCUAAAACGAGCCAGAGAGAACACCAAAGGAAGAAGGAUGGGGAAACAGACUGCCAGUAAGAAAUACAGGAAGGCACAGAAAGGAUGACUUAGGUGGAUAAGAUAGGAUUUAAAAUAGAAAUUUGGAUUAUAAGGUGACUUUUCAUACUUUUAAGGGGGAGAUGGAUCAUUCAAACUGGUGUUGGGACAACUGAGUAACCAACUGGAAAAACAUGAUUGUAUCUCACUUCUAUAUACAAAUAAAUAACAAAUGACUGAAAGAUUUAAAUGUAAAAAUAAAACCACAACCCCAUAAAAAACACAGUCAAUUAUAUUUACAGUCUUGGAGUGGAGAGGCCGAUUUAGUAGCUUACAGACAGCCCCCCCCCCCCCGCAAAGCCAUAAAAGACAAGACUGAUAAAUUCACCUACACAGUUAUAUGCCAAUUCUUCUAGGCAAAAUAAACAAUAAAAUAAAAUUAGAAGGGCACCUGUUUGGCUCAGUGGGUUA